GCCGAGCCCGCCGAAGCUCGCGAAGCUCCGCCCCCUUUCCGCGCCGCGCCCUUUUCUCCAGAACGUUCGGCGCCGCGGUCUGGCGCUCAUCGCGAUGGUCUGCACGGAGCGCCCUGCUGUCCCGACAGCAGCGUGUGCACCACAGACUCGAGUUAACGUAUGGCACGCUGUGCCACCACUUCGAAUGGGGUUUUCUGGGUAUGCAAAGCUUCCCUGCCAUCUUUACCUGCAACAAAAGGGAGCAACGUGGAAAUUCACUACCAGUGGAGAAAAAAAAAAAAAAAGCCAAUGGCUGAAUUGAACUCAGCUCCCAAUGGCUGUGGCUGCACACACAGGAUCGUUUCAACUCCGUCUCCUUGAAGUGAGUGGAAGAAACUGAGCCGUGUCCCAGGAGUGCAAGUCUAAGUUAUACUGCAGAACAGCAAGGAACUAUCAUUGCCAAUGGGACUUCUUGGAAGUGCACUGCUGGAAAAUCAAGUGCUGAUUUGAUCCUGUGAAGACCUCCCAAACAACAUCAGCAGUUUGAAGUUCCCCACUGCGGAGCCGUCCCUCAUUCCCUCUGUGAGCAAUCUGCAAAGACCAGGCUGCCCCAUCCUGCCUGAUGGGGAACCACUCCGAGGAAACCAGGGUGAUGCUGCAGGGCAAAAGGCUCAGCCCCCAUGAGGAACAGGAGGCGUUGUGCAGGUCAGUCCCUAACCUGCAGUCUCACCCUGCCUGCAGGCAGAGCUCUCAGGCUGGCUGGUGGGAGCUUUAUUUGUGCUAGCUGAUGAGAAAUGACGAGAGCUCAGGCCUCUGCCUCAUGCUGCUUUUACAGUUGGUUUGUUGAAAUUCCAGACAACUGGGCCUUUUUCAGCUAAAAAGGGAAAUAAGCUCAGUUAUUGUGUGUAAAUCCAAAGCAAUUUAUUUGUAGACUGAGGAUGUAACCUAUGUAACUGGGGCCAUUUCUGAGAUUGCUGAGUUCCCCAUUGAUGUUCCUUCUCCCUUUCAGUUUAAAAUGCCCAGGUCUUUCAGCUUUCCCGGGAACCUCUCUGAUAAAUAAUCCCUGUUCCCUGCUCAU